GCAUCGCUAGCUCAAUGGUAGAGCAGGAGACUCUUAAUCUCUUGGUUGUAGGUUCGAGUCCUACGCGAUGCACCA
rnacentral:tRNA from 4 species